UUCCCGAGCAUCUGGCGGCCUGCGGAGU
rnacentral:piRNA from 1 species